rnacentral:rRNA from 1 species
UACAGAGGGUGCGAGCGUUAAUCGGAAUUACUGGGCGUAAAGCGUGCGCAGACGGUCAUGUAAGUCGGGUGUGAAAGCCCCGGGCUCAACCUGGGAAUUGCAUUCGAGACUGCAUGGCUAGGGUGCGGCAGGGGAGACUGGAAUUCCUGGUGUAGCGGUGGAAUGCGCAGAUAUCAGGAGGAACACCGGUGGCGAAGGCGGCCUGCUGGGCAGUUUUGCUGACACUGAGGCGCGACAGCGUGGGGAGCAAACAGG